rnacentral:rRNA from 1 species
GAUGAACGCUGGCGGCGUGCUUAACACAUGCAAGUCGAACGAAGCACUUUAUUUGAUUUCCUUCGGGACUGAUUAUUUUGUGACUGAGUGGCGGACGGGUGAGUAACGCGUGGGUAACCUGCCUUGUACAGGGGGAUAACAGUUGGAAACGGCUGCUAAUACCGCAUAAGCGCACAGCAUCGCAUGAUGCAGUGUGAAAAACUCCGGUGGUAUAAGAUGGACCCGCGUUGGAUUAGCUAGUGGGUGAGGUAACGGCCCACCAAGGCGACGAUCCAUAGCCGACCUGGGAGGGUGACCGGCCACAUUGGGACUGGGACACGGCCCAAACUCCUACGGGAGGCAGCAGUGGGGAAUAUUGCACAAUGGGCGAAAGCCUGAUGCAGCGACGCCGCGUGAGCGAAGAAGUAUUUCGGUAUGUAAAGCUCUAUCAGCAGGGAAGAUAAUGACGGUACCUGACUAAGAAGCACCGGCUAAAUACGUG